GAGAAAGAAUGAUAGAAAAAUAUUCUUCUACAAAUCUCGAAGUCGAUUUUAAUCAAUCGAUCGUUUACGCGCGGAGAAUCCGUACCGCGUUUUUCCUCGAACGAUUAAUUACAUAGAGAAUUGGACGCAGCUGCGGGAUGCAACAGGGACGUAGAAGACGCGUUAAUAAUAUUGUUCUAAGAAGCGUGGCAGGAAGCGAAAGGAGGAAGAGGAAGAAGAAGACGAGAGACGAAGAAGACAAAGAAGAAGAAGAAGAAGAAGAAGUUUCGCCACUCGAUUGUGAGCAAAGCGCGGCAAGUUGGCUGUAAUCGUCGGACGUUACGCGUGCUCCCAGUGGGACGCGCGAAUGAACGGGACCCGUCUACUACGAACGGUCUCGGCUCUGGUGACCCGAGGACUUCCCAGGGAGAGUUGGACGUGAGUUUCCUCGAGAGUUCCGGAGGAAUUUCAAGAGGUACGAUAGGGUCAAAGGGUGGAAAGAGAGAUAGACUAGAAACUCUCCUGGAAUCGUCUGUUUAUCGGCGUGAGUCGACGAGUGUCAUUUAUAAACGUUACACGUCCUUUGGAAGAAGAUUUACAUGGUUAGAAAAAAAAGGAAAGAAGAAGAAGAGAAAAAAAAGAAAAAAAAAAAAAAAAACAAACAAACAAAAUGGAUAAAAAUAUAAUCCCAAUAUAAAUGCUUAAGUACUUACCAACCUACCUAUCUACC